UGUUUUGAGGAUUGAAAAUUGGAGCACAUUUCAUGUUUGUCCUAAAGCUAAACAGACCAGAACUUUCUAUGACGAAAAGCUAUCAAACUUAUAAAACAC